rfam:Ictidomys tridecemlineatus contig111559, whole genome shotgun sequence.
GGGAUUGUGGCUCAGUGGUAGAGCACUGCCUUGCAUGUGCAAGGGCCUGGGUUCGAAUCUCAGCACCA